rnacentral:rRNA from 1 species
UACGUAGGGGGGCAAGCGUUGUCCGGAUUUAUUGGGCGUAAAGCGCGUGUAGGCGGCCAUGUAGGUCUGACGUGAAAUUCCGAGGCUCAACCUCGGCAGGUCGUUUGGAAACCAUAUGGCUAGAGUCCGGAAGAGGAGAGUGGAAUUCCUGGUGUAGCGGUGAAAUGCGCAGAUAUCAGGAAGAACACCAAUGGCGAAGGCAGCUCUCUGGGACGGUACUGACGCUGAGACGCGAAAGCGUGGGGAGCGAACAGG